rnacentral:rRNA from 1 species
CCUACGGGAGACAGCAGUGGGGAAUAUUGCACAAUGGGGGAAACUCUGAUGCAGCGACGCCGCGUGAGCGAUGAAGUAUUUCGGGAUGUAAAGCUCUAUCAGCAGGGAAGAAAAUGACGGUACCUGACUAAGAAGCCCCGGCCAACGACGUGCCAGCAGCAGUGGUAAUACGGAGGGGGCAAGCGUUAUCCGGAUUUACUGGGUGUAAGGGGAGCGUAGACGGUCCGGCAGGCAAGAUGUGAAAGCCCGGGGCUCAACCCCGGGACUGCAGUUGAAACUGUAAGGCUAGAGUGUCGGAGAGGCAGGCGGAAUUCCUAGUGUAGCGGUGAAAUGCGUAGAUAUUAGGAGGAACACCAGUGGCGAAGGCGGCCUGCUGGACGGUGACUGACGUUGAGGCUCGAAAGCGUGGGGAGCAAACAGGAUUAGAUACCCCUGUAGUC